rnacentral:rRNA from 1 species
UACGUAGGGUGCGAGCGUUUAAUCGGAAUUACUGGGCGUAAAGCGUGCGCAGGCGGUUCGUUAAGUCAGAUGUGAAAGCCCCGGGCUCAACCUGGGAACUGCAUUUGAAACUGGCGGGCUUGAGUGUGGCAGAGGGGGGUGGAAUUCCGCGUGUAGCAGUGAAAUGCGUAGAGAUGCGGAGGAACACCGAUGGCGAAGGCAGCCCCCUGGGCCAACACUGACGCUCAGGCACGAAAGCGUGGAGAGCAAACAGG